UACGUAGGGGGCAAGCGUUGUCCGGAUUUAUUGGGCGUAAAGAGCUCGUAGGUGGUUCGGUAAGUCGGAUGUGAAAUCUCCAGGCUCAACCUGGAGGGGUCAUUCGAUACUGCCGUGACUAGAGUUCGGUAGGGGAGUGUGGAAUUCCUGGUGGAGCGGUGAAAUGCGCAGAUAUCAGGAAGAACACCAAUGGCGAAAGCAGCUCUCUGGGACGGUACUGACGCUGAGACGCGAAAGCGUGGGGAGCGAACAGG
rnacentral:rRNA from 1 species